rnacentral:rRNA from 1 species
CCCUUAGAUGUUCUGGGCUGCACGCGCGCUACACUGAUGCACUCAACGAGUUUACGACCUUGCCCGAUAGGGUUGGGUAAUCUUUUUAAAAUGCAUCGUGAUGGGGAUAGAUUAUUGCAAUUAUUAAUCUUCAACGAGGAAUUCCUAGUAAGCGCGGGUCAUCAGCUCGUGCUGAUUACGUCCCUGCCCUUUGUACACACCGCCCGUCGCUCCUACCGAUUGAGUGCUCAGGUGAAUAAUUCGGACUGCAGCAAUGUUUGGAUCCCGAACGUUGCAGCGGAAAGUUUAGUGAACCUUAUCACUUAGAGGAAGGAGAAGUCGUAACA